CUUUAUACAUGCAAGUCGAACGAUGAAGUUCCUUCGGGAAUGGAUUAGUGGCGAACGGGUGAGGAACACGUGAGAAACCUGCCUUUCAUUCUGGGAUAACACCGGGAAACCGGUGCUAAUACCGGAUACUCCGUCUUGGCGGCAUCGCCGAGCCGGGAAAAAAUUUUGAUGAAAGAUGGUCUCACGGCCCCCCAGCUAGUUGGUGAGGUAAUGGCUCACCAAGGCGACGACGGGUAGCCGGGCCUGAGAGGGCGACCGGCCACACUGGGACUGAGACACGGCCCAGACUCCUACGGGAGGCAGCAGUAGGGAAUAUUGGGCAAUGGGCGCAAGCCUGACCCAGCGCCGCCGCGUGAGGGAUGAAGGUCUUCGGAUUGUAAACCUCUUUCAGUAGGGAAGAAGCGAAAGUGACGGUACCUAAAGAAGAAGCACCGGCUAACUAUGUGCCAGCAGCCGCGGUAAUACAUAGGGUGCAAGCGUUGUCCGGAAUUAUUGGGCGUAAAGAGCUC
rnacentral:rRNA from 1 species